UACAGAGGUGGCAAGCGUUGUUCGGAAUUACUGGGCGUAAAGCGCACGUAGGCGGCUUUGCAAGUUAGAGGUGAAAGCCCGGGGCUCAACUCCGGAAUUGCCUUUAAAACUGCAUCGCUAGAAUUGUGGAGAGGUAAGUGGAAUUCCGAGUGUAGAGGUGAAAUUCGUAGAUAUUCGGAAGAACACCAGUGGCGAAGGCGACUUACUGGACACAUAUUGACGCUGAGGUGCGAAAGCGUGGGGAGCAAACAGG
rnacentral:rRNA from 1 species